AUUGAACGCUGGCGGCAGGCCUAACACAUGCAAGUCGAGCGGGGUUUUCGGACCUAGCGGCGGACGGGUGAGUAAUGCGUAGGAAGCUGCCCGAUAGAGGGGGAUACCAGUUGGAAACGACUGUUAAUACCGCAUAAUGUCUACGGACCAAAGUGUGGGACCUUCGGGCCACAUGCUAUCGGAUGCGCCUACGUGGGAUUAGCUAGUUGGUGAGGUAAUGGCUCACCAAGGCGACGAUCUCUAGCUGGUUUGAGAGGAUGAUCAGCCACACUGGAACGGAGACACGGUCCAGACUCCUACGGGAGGCAGCAGUGGGGAAUAUUGGACAAUGGGCGCAAGCCUGAUCCAGCCAUGCCGCGUGUGUGAAGAAGGCCUUCGGGUUGUAAAGCACUUUCAGCGAGGAGGAAGGGGUUGUAGUUAAUAGCUGCAACCUUUGACGUUACUCGCAGAAGAAGCACCGGCUAACUCUGUGCCAGCAGCCGCCGUAAGAC
rnacentral:rRNA from 1 species